rnacentral:rRNA from 1 species
AGAGUUGAUCCUGGCUCAGGACGAACGCUGGCGGCGUGCCUAACACAUGCAAGUCGAACGGACUGAUUCCUUCGGGAAUGAAAGUCAGUGGCGGACGGGUGAGUAACGCGUGAGUAACCUGCCUUUCAGAGGGGGGAUAACGUUUGGAAACGAACGCUAAUACCGCAUAACGUACAGUUGUCGCAUGGCAGCAGUACCAAAGGAGCAAUCCGCUGGAAGAUGGACUCGCGUCUGAUUAGAUAGUUGGCGGGGUAACGGCCCACCAAGUCGACGAUCAGUAGCCGGACUGAGAGGUUGAACGGCCACAUUGGGACUGAGACACGGCCCAGACUCCUACGGGAGGCAGCAGUGAGGGAUAUUGCACAAUGGGCGCAAGCCUGAUGCAGCAAACCGCCGCGUGAAGGAUGACGGUUUUCGGAUUGUAAACUUCUGUUCUCAGUGAUGAUAAUGACAUUAGCUGAGGAGAAAGCCACGGCUAACUACGUGCCAGCCGCGGC